CUUCUGAUCUGGAGUCAGACGCGCUACCAUUGCGCCACGGAUCCGGAUGUGAGGUUAUUCUCACAAUAACAAUAUGGUCUUUAAAUACAAAUCACAACAGAAGAAAGGUUGUUUUGUUUCCCGCCAAACUCAACGAACUAAUCUACUGUUUCUCCCCUCUCUCUGAGAUAGAAUCUUGAAGACUUUUAUUGAUGGCGGAAAGUUUGGAACGUAUCGACGUGAAGCUGUCUCCUGCGCCGGACGCAAGGAUACCGUUGAUGAAAUCAAAAGGAGGACGGCGGCGAGGCGGCGACACGUGGGUGGUUUCAGUGUUCGUGAUAAUCCAAAUCGGAGUUUUCAUCGCAACCAUGCUCGUCAACGAUUGCUGGACCAAUUCUCACGGAGAUUGCCUUCUGCAAACCCUCGGAAGGUUCUCCUUCCAGCCUCUCCCCGAGAAUCCACUCCUAGGUCCUUCUCAGUCCAAGUUAGAUGAAAUGGGAGCUCUUCGAUGGAGCCUUUUGACAGAGCAGCACCAAACUUGGCGUCUUUUCACAUUUCCAUUUUUGCAUGGUGGACUCUUCCACUUGCUUCUCAAUCUCUCGAGUAUCGUCUACGUGGGAGUGCGCCUAGAGCGCGAAUUUGGACCCAUAAGAAUUGGUAUAAUCUAUGCAUUGUCAGCUUUUGUGGGAGGCUUGGUGGCUUCUCUUUUUCUCCGAAACACCCCUGCUGUUGGUGCUUCCGGUGCUUUAUAUGGAUUGCUGGGAACAUUGCUUUCCGAACUUGUUUGGAACUGGAAAUAUCAUACCAAUAAGAUUUCGGCAAUAGCAACAUUAGUCUUUGUGUUUGUGUGCAACUUCGUCCUUGGUUUUCUGCCUUAUGUAGACAAUUUUGCCAGCAUUGGAGGUUUUAUAUCAGGAUUCCUUCUUGGAUCUGUUUUUCUACUCAGCCCUCAGCUCCAACCAGUAGCUCCAAAUAAAGGUGGUCUUGUUGAGUAUGGGGUCAAAAGUUACAUCAACUUAAAGUUGAAGAAAAAGCUGGACAGACCGGUUCUCAGGAUUGUUUCUCUUAUCCUCUUCGGCCUAUUAUUGGCUGGUUGUCUUGUGGUAGUUCUUCAUGGAAUCAACAUCAACAGUUAUUGCACAUGGUGUCCAUAUGUCGACUGUAUCCCUUUUACAAGCUGGCACUGCCAAGACACAGAAGCCUCUUGUGAGACAAUGGUGAGCAAUGCUCAGCUGACAAUGACCUGUAUCGGGAAUGGCAACUUCAGGGUCUAUCCUUUUACCAACAUUUCUCGGGCAAGGAUGAAUGAUUUGUGCAAUCUGAUUUGCUGACGGGACAAAUUGUUUCAAUGAUUCUUUUAGCCCCGAAUUACCAGGAAAUUCUGGAUAGCUUAUAUCUUAACAAGUUGUCGUAUCCUUUUUCUGAAUGUAAAGAAAGAAAUAGAGUAUAAUUAGAAGCUCGAGGUGUUUGAUUUGACCCAAAUUGAUGCAACAGUUUGCGGAGCAUGUCUUUGGUUGUAAAUACCACAAUACCACCUGGGUGUAAAAUUUGUAGUCCCUGGGCAAGAUGAAUCCUUUUCAUGCUGGUAGAAAAUUGAAGUUGUGAAAAAAAAAAAAACAUUUCUUGAUUGCUGUUUCUAAUAAUCAGAUAUAUAAGUGUUUCAUUACGUCCCUGAAUUUCGGCUUGGCUGUUAUGUAUAACUCUGUAGUAUCUAACUUCCGCCGUAAUAGCAUAAUUACAUUGAGGGUGCAUCUGUGACCUGUGAGCUGUUACUGAGUAUGCUCCCGCCGCCGCCACCCGCAUUCACAGUUAAGGACCAUCAAGCCACGGUCUAUAAAAUGAGUGCACUGAGACUUAACAAUCCACAGUGUGGGCCUAACCCUACCCAAUUGCACUGGAUUCAAAGUUUCUGAGCAUUCAAAUGCCGAAGCCUUCUGAGCAAACUCUAGAUCCAUAUACUAAACGGAUAAGUCUUGUACAUCGUACUCAUCGCCAAACCAACCAAGCAGAAGAAUCAACUUAAAAGAGACGUGGCAGAAAAUAUGGGAAAGAUAACAAGCUGCCACUUUCUUUUCUUUUCUUUUUUUGGUGUACUUCUGAAUUUUAGAAUAUAAAAUAAAACAGUUGCAGGA